UACAGAGGUCCCGAGCGUUGUUCGGAUUCACUGGGCGUAAAGGGUGCGCAGGUGGGUUGGCAAGUUUGAUGUGAAAGCCCCGGGCUUAACCCGGGAAUGGCAUUGAAUACUGCUGAUCUGGAGGAUCGGAGGGGGGACUGGAAUUCUUGGUGUAGCAGUGAAAUGCGUAGAUAUCCGGAGGAACACCGACGGCGUAGGCAGCGCCCUGGCUGUGAAUAAAGCUGACACUGAGGCACGAAAGCUGGGGGAGCAAACAGG
rnacentral:rRNA from 1 species